CAAACCCACCCCUUUUGGCAGGUACUGAAAUACAGAAACACCCAAUUCAGGCUGAAGAAAAGCUCAAUUACUUGGGAGAGGAGCACCCGCGGCCGGGCCACGAGAGGGAGCGAGAUGUUCACAGCUCCGGGCUGGGAUGAGAUUCCCUCAGCGCAGGGCUGGAUUCCUGCACUGCUCCCCCAGUGCCAGUGAGGAAUUCGAGCACAGAAACACUCCAGACCAGCAAGAACAGAAUAUGGAAGAUCUGAAUAUAGAAUAUAGAAGAAUAUAGAAGAAUAUGGAAGAAUAUAGAAGAAUAUGGAAGAAUAUAGAAGACUUGUGUGCAAGAUUUGGCCCUGUCCCAGCAGGGAAUGAUGAGGAUGUGUCACAGCAGCAAAAGGGCUCUGGAAAGGAGCAAUAAGGUGUCUGCUCUGGGUGACACCUGGUGCCACCUUAUUGGGGACAAUAUUGCAGUAAACUGGAUUUUCUGAAAAGUGACAAGUCUAAAACAAGCUAAAAAUCAUUGAGGUUUUCUUGAAUAUUUGCAUUAACUAAUUAUUUAUUGGA